rnacentral:lncRNA from 10 species
CUUUGAAAUGUCGAGGCAGGUGGGAGCCACCGCGUCCAGCCUAAGCCUUUUCAAUCAAUAGCUCAAUGCCCUCUCGUGUCAAUAUGCAGAACAAGGAACUGAAUCUAUACUAGACUUUAUUACAGCACAGUGUCCAUUAUCUUUACUUUCUCCCACUAUAAUACCCCAGUCUUGCCCGUAAAGAUGAGAAGGGAAGUUUGACUUUGAUGAGCACCAAAGUUACCAAUUUUACAAAAUCUAAUAGCCAUAAUUCUUGUAGUUCCUCACCACCCUACAGUUCCCACUAUUUUUACCCUAGUUCCUGUGUCUGCAGCCUGGUUUGCAUGAAUGGACCUCUGCUCAGCUGUCUUUUCCAUUCCUUUGCGUCCUGAUUCACAGUUCCUCUUUGCACUUCUGUUUAGAGGAGGACAGUGGGUAUGGCCUGCACACCUCAGGAAUAUUGCUGGUACCCCAUCCAUAUUUUCCCAAGUCCUUAAGGCCUACUCAGACUUUGUAACAUUUAUCCAAGGCUCUACUCGUGUUCAGUAUACUGAUGAUGCCUUUGUAGCCAAACUAAGCAAGGUGGUCUUAUGGAUUUCCUCAUUCUCCUAGAGACACUAGCUGAAUUAAGCCAUAAAGUCUCCCAAUCUAAAUUUCAGUGGGUGUAGAUAGCUAUUACUUAGGAUGCGAGGUAUCUCAGGGCACCCAAAGCUCACCCAGAACACCUUGAAUCAAUUUUAUCCAUCGCUCUCCGCAAAAUAAAAGCAGGUAUGGGCCGGGUGAACCACUGCACCUUGCCUCUUUAUGCACUCUUAACCUGUCUCUUCUCAUUCCUUCGUCACCACUGGACUUUGGGUACCCUACGGGUGAUGUUAAGGCUGGUCCCCAACAAUUGUUAUUUGUGGAAACUUUCCAGUACCCACGUAUAGCCAGCAGCCCCUUUAAGGGAACAUAACUCUCCCUGGCUGGCCAACAAAUAGCCCGGAGCCAAGCAGUCAUCAGCUGUCGAGUCUGCCAGGGAGCGUUGUCCUUCACGGAAAGCAUCUAAAGCAUUAGCUCUCUGCUGCGUGUGGUUAGAGUGUGCUGAACGUUUUCCGAUGGCUUCAUGGUUUGAGUUGACAGGAUGACAUCAUGUGUGCCUAAGGCAGUGCCCGUGGUGGCCCAAAAAGUAUGUGCAAUGAGCAGAAAAUUAGCACACUUGUCUCAAGAGGAGGUUUGGGAGUGGGUGUGAGAUGGAGCAGGGACUCCCUCUUCACGGCCUGUGGAUCUCCCAGGCAUAGAAAUAAAGAACAAUCUUGCUUUUCUUCAAGGUAAAUUUCAGUCACCUAGUUAGCCCCAAGAAGUAAAUAUGCAACUUGAUAAGCAAGAAGGUAACGGUAGCCUAAAACAAUAGCCAAGGAAGCUAGAAGCAUCGGAUGUGUAGUUCUCCUGUAGAAACUAAAGAUGGUGGCCGGGCGCGGCGGCUCACGCCUGUAAUCCCAGCGCUUUGGGAGGCUGAGGCGGGCGGAUCACGAGGUCAGGAGAUCGAGACCAUCCUGGCUAACACGGUGAAACCCUGUCUCUAUUAAAAACACACAAAAAAUUAGCCGGGCAUGGUGGCAGGCGCCUGUAGUCCCAGCUAUUCGGGAGGCUAAGGCAGGAGAAUGGCGUGAACCCUGGAGGCAGAACUUGCAGUGAGCCCAGAUCGUGCCACUGCACUCCAGCCUGGGCAACAGAGCGUGACUCUGUCUCAAAAAAAAAAAAAAAAAAAAAAAGAAAGAAAAAGAAAAAGAAAGAAAGAAGCAUGUGUUAUGGGUUGUACUCUAAGGUGCCAGUAAGUCUGAUGAUCAGGACAAAGUAGGGGGCCCUAAAGGCUGGGGUCGAGCCUAAGUAAAGCUGCACACAGUGGAGAAGACCCGUUUAGAAGACCAUGUGUGGUCUGUAAUGUCAGCAAGGUUUGUUUGAGCCAUCAGUUCUAGGAGGCCUCUAGCCCGAGAGUAUAAGAGAGCAGAAAGUUGCUUUGAACGCCUUGUUCAAGAGCCCAGCGUUGGCCAGGCAUGGUGGCUCAUGCCUGUAAUCCCAGCACUUUGGGAGGCUGAGACAGGUGGAUCACGAGGUCAAGAGACCAAGACCAUCCUGACCAACAUGGUGAAACCCUGUCUCUACUAAAAAUACAAAAAUUAGCUGGGCGUAGUGGCGGGCACCUGUAGUCCCAGCUACUGGGGAUGCUGAGGCAGGAGAACCGCUUGAACCCGGGAGGUAGGGGUUGCAGUGAGCUGAGAUUGCACCACUACACUCCAGCCUGGUGACUAAGCGAGACUCCAUCUCAAAAAAUUAAAAUAAAAUAAAUAAAUAAAUAAAUAAAUAAAAGAGCCCAGUGUUGUGUUGGAACAGGAAUUAAAACAGAUUAAAGAAUGUGUAAGCAGAAACUCAGUUGUAUGUAAGAAAACCCAAUUCCCCCUGAGAACAAGAAAGAGCUGGAGUCUUUUAAAAAUUAACUGCCUGUUUUUCUGUGGCUAGUGAGCCUUAUCUCUCCUCCCUUCCCAGGCAUUGUGAAGGCCCUGUUUCCCUAGUUGUGCAGCUGCAAGUUCACUAGACAGAUAAACUCAAGUUGCAAAACAUGUUUUGCCUUGAAAAGUAAGAAAUGAUGUAAUGCACGUCUCAAUUAAUUGAAUAACUCUCUUUGUCUCUCGCUUCUGUAAUAUGCUUCCCCCUGCACAGAUCUCCCCCGGCCCCACAAAAUGCUUCAAAGGUAACUUAACUCUUUGUUCAGGGCUCAGUCCUUUGGGUGUUAAUCGGACUGGGCUGGUGCAGCUAAAUAAUAAAUAUCCUCCUGAACCCCAU